rnacentral:rRNA from 1 species
AUUGAACGCUGGCGGAAUGCUUUACACAUGCAAGUCGAACGGCAGCACGGGGGCAACCCUGGUGGCGAGUGGCGAACGGGUGAGUAAUACAUCGGAACGUGCCCAGUCGUGGGGGAUAACGUAGCGAAAGCUACGCUAAUACCGCAUACGAUCUAAGGAUGAAAGCGGGGGAUCGGAAGACCCCGAGCGAUUGGAGCGGCCGAUGGCAGAUUAGGUAGUUGGUGGGGUAAAGGCUAACCAAGCCGACGAUCUGUAGCUGGUCUGAGAGGACGACCAGCCACACUGGGACUGAGACACGGCCCAGACUCCUACGGGAGGCAGCAGUGGGGAAUUUUGGACAAUGGGCGCAAGCCUGAUCCAGCCAUUCCGCGUGCAGGAUGAAGGCCCUCGGGUUGUAAACUGCUUUUGUACGGAACGAAACGGCUCUCUCUAAUACAGGGGGCUAAUGACGGUACCGUAAGAAUAAGCACCGGCUAACUACGUGCCAGCCGCCGCGGUAA